rnacentral:tRNA from 1 species
GAGAAAUGAGAUUCAAGGAUAAGCUUCUAACUUCCUCCUUAAGCAGCGCACCACUGUUUAUUUCUCU